rnacentral:lncRNA from 1 species
UCGGAGGUGAUGAUCUAAAUACAUCUAUAAUAUAAACAAUGUUUUUCUUGUCAUCCAAUCUGUUAGCGACUCAAUGCCUCCUUCUAUGCUUUCUGUCUAUCAUGGAUAUGCUUGUUCCUAGUCUAGUUAUGGAUUAGACUAUCUAUAAUGCUUAGUGUAAUCGUGGUGAUUAGAUCUAGUAUGUCGAUCCUUCAUGAUAGUUAGACAUGUUCACUUAUGUUCGUGCCCAUAAACUGCUUGCGCUGAUAGGGGGGAUCAUGACAGGGUCUUCUUCCAUGUAAGGUGGGGCUUGUCGGGAGGUUGAUCGGUGGUAGUAGUUUAAAGAUUGCAUUGGAAGAGAUGCAUGAUGUGCUUUCUUAUUAGCUAGAUCUACAACUAGAAGAUGAUAGGCCCUUGUUACCCUUGGUUACACUAUCUUAUAUGUAUCUGUGGAUGUUAUUAACCUAUGCUCUAUCAUUCUUAUGUAUUAGGUUUACCCUUCAUAUGCAAUCUAUGCUUCAUGUUAGGAUUCUAUCGAUUAAGUUAGAUAGAAAACCAUAGUUAGUUUGCUGCCAAUCCACGGAUUGAAAAAGCUUGGAUGAAUACUCUGAGGGAAAAGCUACAACUGAUCCGUGCGCUUGUGGUUCAAACGGGCGUGCUAAGUACCGUCA